rnacentral:rRNA from 1 species
GCUAAUGUCGGGCCAAGGUGCGGGGUUAAAAGGAAGGUCCGGGCGGUAUCCGGAUUUAUUGGGUUUGAAGGGGGCGUAGGCGGGAGAUUAAGCGGUUUGGGAAAUGUAGACGCUCAACGUCUGCACGGCAGCGCGAACUGGUUUCCUUGAGUACGCACAAAGUGGGCGGAAUUCGUGGUGUAGCGGGGAAAUGCUUAGAUAUCACGAAGAACUCCGAUUGCGAAGGCAGCUCACUGGAGCGCAACUGACGCUGAAGCUCGAAAGUGCGGGUAUCGAACAGGAUUAGAUACCCUAGUAGUC